AAACAAUCAAAUGCAAAAUGGCUCCAUAGCGCCCCCUAAGGUGAAAAAUUCACAUGAUUGAGUGUCACGCCUGUACGCUUUGUCAAAAUGACACAAAAUUUGACACACACGUGUAUCUCAAUAAGAUCUACAAAAAAGUCAGUGCGGGCGUAUCUGUCAAAUGUACGGUUAAAGGGCUAUUUCGCAUUUUUUGCCGAUCCGCACACAUUGGAAUUUCGCUAACUCCUCCGAAGGCUUUCGUUCCACCGGCACCAAAUUUGCUCAGGCCAAUCUACACCCCAUGGCCAUUCAAAGUUGUACAAAUCAUGACGCUGCCCCCCACGGUUUACGUUGUAGGGGGCGCCAAAGAUAACCCAAAAAUCCACAUUCUUACAAGUCUUAUAACUUUUUAUUUCUGUCCUCACUGGCCUCCAAGUUUUCUAGGAUGAUGCAAUGUCCAGCCAUCAACACAUUUGUGAAGGAAUUUUUACUCCCCAAAAGAGCGCCCCCCCAUGGCAGAAGAAAAAAGGCCAUUUUUUCUUGUCCUAUAAGGUGAAAAUACACAUUGUUGAGUGUCACGCCUGUACGCUUUGUCAUAUUGAAACAAAAUUUGAUAAUCACGUGUAUCUCAAUAAGAUCUACGAAAGAGUCAAUGCGCACGUGUCUGCAAAAUGUACGGUUAAAGGGCUAUUUCGCAUUUUUGGUUGAUUCGCACACAUUGGAAUGUGGCUAACUCCUCCUAAAGCUUUCGUUCCACCGGCACCAAAUUUGCUUAGGCCAAUCUACACCCCAUGGCCAUUCAAAGUUGUACAAAUCAUGUCGCUGCACCCCACGGUUUACCUUGUAGGGGGCGCCAAAGAUAACCCAAAAAUCCACAUUCUUACAAGUUAUAACUUUUUAUUUCUGUCCUCACUGGCCUCCAAGUUUUCUAGGAUGAUGCAAUGUCCAGCCAUCAACACAUUUGUGAAGGAAUUUUUACUCGCCAAAAGAGCGCCCCCCCAUGGCAGGAGAAAAAAGUCCAUUUUUUCUUGUCUCCUAAGGCGAAAAUUCACACUAUUGACUGUCACACCUUUACGCUUUGUCAAAAUGACACAAAAUUUGACACACACAUGUAUCUCAAUAAGAUCUACAAAAAAGUCAGUGCGGGCGUAUCUGUCAAAUGUACGGUUAAAGGGUUAUUUCGCAUUUUUUGCCGAUCCGCACACAUUGGAAUUUCGCUAACUCCUCCGAAGGCUUUCGUUCCACCGGCACCACAUUUGCUCAGGCCAAUCUACACCCCAUGGCCAUUAAAAGUUGUACAAAUCAUGAUGCUGCACCCCACGGUUUACGUUCUAGGGGGCGCCAAAGAUAACCCAAAUAUCCACAGUCUUAAAAGUCUUAUAACUUUUUAUUUUUGUCCUCACUGGCCUCCAAGUUCUCUAGGAUGAUGCAAUGUCCAGCCAUCAACACAUUUGUGAAGGAAUUUUUACUCGCCAAAAGAGCGCCCCCCAUGGCAGGAGAAAAAAGUCCAUUUUUUCUUGUCUCCUAAGGCGAAAAUACACAUUGUUGACUGUCACGCCUUUACGCUUUGUCAAAAUGACACAAAAUUUGACACACACAUGUAUCUCAAUAAGAUCUACGAAAAAGUCAAUGCGAGCGUAUCUGUUCAAUGUACGGUUAAAGGGCUAUUUCGCAUUUUUUGCCGAUUCGCACACAUUGGAAUGUGGCUAACUCCUCCUAAAGCUUUUGUCCCAUCGGCUUCAAAUUUGCUCAGGUCAAUCUACACCCCAUGUCCAUUCAAAGUUGUACAAAUCAUGACGCUGCACCCCACGGUUUACGUUCUAGGGGGCGCCAAAGAUAACCCAAAAAUCCACAGUCUUAAAAGUCUUAUAACUUUUUAUUUUUGUCCUCACUGGCCUCCAAGUUCUCUAGGAUGAUGCAAUGUCCAGCCAUCAACACAUUUGUGAAGGAAUUUUUACUCCCCAAAAGAGCGCCCCCCCAUGGCAGGAGAAAAAGUCAAGUUUUUCCUGCCCAUCGCUCAAUGGCUCAAACGCAUCGCUCUCUCGGCAAAACCGAAAGGAGGAGCAACUUGCCAUUUGGAUAUAUACUAGCUGUGUUUGUGCCCUCACUCAUGGUCCAGACUUUUUUCAAAAAGGACAUGGAGUUUGUCUGCAGCGAGCGUUUUGGUAGAAACUGCGCCUCCCAUUCAUUAUAAUGGUAAAUGACCACAGACAAGUGCGCACACCAUCUUUGGACCUUGAGUGUGACGCAAUCGGGAGGGGUAGGCGGUCGCGCUGGGGGUGGCGCGACACGGCUCGGGCCCGCCAGUGCCCCAACGGGGCCCUAGUUCUUUGUUUCUUUUUUCUUUUUCCUCCCCUUUGACCUGGAAAAUGGCCCACUUCCCACUGGCGAAAACUCAUGAAAUUUGGCAGGACGACCGGGCCUGGUGAAAAAUUUGAUAUUCCGAAGUCGCCCAAACAAGAAAAUGCAAAAUGGCUCCAUAGCGCCCCCUAAGGUGAAAAUUCACACUAUUGACUGUCACGCCUGUACGCUUUGUCAAAAUGACACAAAAAUUGACACACACAUGUAUCUCAAUAAGAUCUACAAAAAAGUCAGUGCGGCCGUAUCUGUCAAAUGUACGGUCAAAGGGUUAUUUCGCAUUUUUUGCCGAUCCGCACACAUUGGAAUUUCGCUAACUCCUCCGAAGGCUUUCGUUCCACCGGCACCACAUUUGCUCAGGCCAAUCUACACCCCGUGGCCAUUAAAAGUUAUCAAAAUCAUGACGCUGCACCCCAAGGUUUAGGUUCUAGGGGGCGCCAAAGAUAACACUAAAAUCCACAUAUUUAAAAGUCUUAUAACUUUUUAUUUUUGUCCUCACUGGCCUCCAAGUUUUCUAGGAUGAUGCAAUGUCCAGCCAUCAACACAUUUGUGAAGGAAUUUUUACUCCCCAAAAGAGCGCCCCCCCAUGGCAGGAGAAAAAAGUCCAUUUUUUCUUGUCCCCUAAGGUGAAAAUACACAUUGUUGAGUGUCACGCCUAUACGCUUUGUCAAAAUGACACAAAAAUUGACACACAUAUGUAUCUCAAUAAGAUCUACAAAAAAGUCGAUGCGGCCGUAUCUGUCAAAUGUACGGUCAAAGGGUUAUUUCGCAUUUUUUGCCGAUCCGCACACAUUGGAAUUUCGCUAACUCCUCCGAAGGCUUUCGUUCCACCGGCACCACAUUUGCUCAGGCCAAUCUACACCCCGUGGCCAUUAAAAGUUAUCAAAAUCAUGACGCUGCACCCCAAGGUUUAGGUUCUAGGGGGCGCCAAAGGUAACACUAAAAUCCACAUAUUUAAAAGUCUUAUAACUUUUUAUUUUUGUCCUCACUGGCCUCCAAGUUUUCUAGGAUGAUGCAAUGUCCAGCCAUCAACACAUUUGUGAAGGAAUUUUUACUCCCCAAAAGAGCGCCCCCCCAUGGCAGGAGAAAAAAGUCAAUUUUUUCUUGUCCCCUAAGGUGAAAAUACACAUUGUUGAGUGUCACGCCUAUACGCUUUGUCAAAAUGACACAAAAAUUGACACACACAUGUAACUCAAUAAGAUCUACGAAAAAGUCAAUGCGCGCGUAUCUGUCAAAUGUACGGUUAAAGGGUUAUUCCGCAUUUUUUGCCGAUCCGCACACAUUGGAAUGUGGCUAACUCCUCCUAAGGCUUUCGUUCCACCGGCACCACAUUUGCUCAGGACAAUCUACACCCCAUGGCCAUUAAAAGUUAUUCAAAUCAUGACGCUGCACCCCACGGUUUAGGUUCUAGGGGGCGCCAAAGACCCUAAAAUCCACAUAUUUAAAAGUCUUAUAACUUUUUAUUUUUGUCCUCACUGGCCUCCAAGUUUUUUAGUUUUCUAGGAUGAUGCAAUGUCCAGCCAUCAACACAUUUGUGAAGGAAUUUUUACUCCCCAAAAGAGCGCCCCCCCAUGGCAGGAGAAAAAAGUCCAUUUUUUCUUGUCCCCUAAGGUGAAAAUACAUAUUGUUGAGAUUCACGCCUAUACGCUUUGUCAUAUUGACACAAAAUUUGACAAUCACGUGCCUUGCCUGGUAUCAUUUUUUCAGCACAACCUCACCUGUGCGAAUUUACAGUUAUUUUAUCAUGUUGACAUACUGAAUUUACACAAUGGACCCAAAUUCACACACAAAACAUAAAAUCCGAGUGGAAAAAAGUAACAUUUUUACUGUGAAAACCACAAAUAUGUGUGAUGAACUGUUUUUAAAACUUAAACUUCAAAUAAAAAUUGUAAACUUCAAAACAUAUGCAAAUUUUUAACAAAGAACAUAGUGAUUUACCUCUAUUUACAUCAAAAUGCAGGCAAUGGCCCAGGCGUUCUUUGUAAAAUUAUUUACAAAACACUGUAUAGUCUCACAAAUGUCACUUUUUAUUUAUGCCACUACAAAAAAACAUGAUGUAAAUGAUGCAUGAUGUAAAACAUGAUGUAAAAAACUUGUGUAGAUCCUCCUCUAUGUCAGUCCAUGUGUAAUUUUUCCAUAAUUCUUUGUUUUUUGCAGCAUUUUUGUUAGUGUAACUGCAGAUUGUGCUGACAGUGUCUAUGGCACAAAAAAAAAAAAAUUUAAAAUGCCUCAACAUGAACCCCUGGUGGUCUCUGAGGGUGAAACCUGCUAACGGCUGCAGCUCUGUCAGCUUCAGUCUCCCAUGCAGAGCUCUGAGCGCAUGUGUGGCUCUGCACCCUUAGCAGCGUUGCUAACUCCUCAGUAAGGAAAGCCUGCUUCAUGUCAGAGUCUCUAAACUCCAGAAGAAGUCGAUAAAAGUCCCUUUCUUUCUAAAAAAAAGUCGUUAGGGGGUCUGAAAAGUCAUUGAAUCUAACAACAAAGUCGCUAGGUUUGCAACUACGUGUCCCAGACUGCAUCCCUGCUGAGAGUCCCUCCCUCCCUUCUCAUGUUGCAGGAAGAACGUAAGCGCCCGCCCCUUGUCAAUCAGUCACCAUAUAAUUUUGGAUUGGUUGUUGUGGUGAAGUUUUCCACCAAUAGGAGAGAUGUUGUGGUGUGUUUUUUUUUUCUUUUGGCAAGCCUUUUCCGCCUGUAAGACCUGUCGCUAAUGUCUGCAUGCUAUGUUUUCCUGUCUCAUACAGCGCGAUCGAGCGCCGAACGUGAUCAAAAUAAGCAGAAAAAAAGUAUCGCGGACAUAAUUUAUCAUAACUCUGGUUUUAUUUGGCCUAUCAACACAAUUUAAAAACUGGUAUAUAGGUUGAGGUCCUCACUUUUGAGAUAAGUUGAAACGGAGAGUCAACGAGGCUCCGUCUUGCAGCUACAUCCGAUUAAAUAUGUCAUGUGACUUGAACGCACACACAGACACACACACACGCACACACACACACACACACACACACACACACACUCAGAGUCUGGUUUUUAGCACCUGCAAAAACAUGCUAUUUACAUAUUUGACAAGAAUGCAGAGGCUCCUUUUGCCCCUGAAAAAAAUCAAAUUUCAAACACAACUUGACUGGUCAUUUCUCCAAAAGACAACCAUGAAGCUCCAUCCAAACCUGAAGCAGGCAGUUGGUGCAUGUGUACAGUAACCUGAGGGGAGUGAGGUGAGUGCUUCUGAGGAGAACAUGAGCAGUGAAGAUUCACCUUGGAGCUAGAACAGAGACAUGCACAUGAUUAUACAGGGGCAGGGGCUCAAGUUUUUUCCAGUCGUUUAUACAAUAUGGAAAUUAAUGUGAAAUUAAAACACAAAGUAUUAAUAGAAAGGUAAUGACUGUCCUGUGUAGGUGACAGUGAUAUCCAAUAGGCUAGGCACUCACGAGGCUGGCUGUGGCAAGUGUAAGUGAAAGCAACACGCACUGGCAGGAAGAACAGCAAACGCCGAUGAAGGAAAAGGGUCUUUGCAGUGAUGGGCGUUACCAGAGAGGGCGAUGGCCAGAGGACACAAAUGGGACGGGGAGGCAGCAUGUUGGGGGGUGGGGGGGUGGGGGGGGGGGGGGGACGCGACACGGCUCGGGCCCGCCAGUGCCCCAACGGGGUCCUAGUUAUUAUUAUUAUUUUUCCUCCGCUUUAAACUGGAAAAUGGCCCACUUCCCACUGGCGAAAACUCAGGAAAUUUGGCAGGACGACCGGGCCUGGUGAAAAAUUCGAUAUUCUGAAGUCGCCCAAACAAUAAAAUACAAAAUGGCUCCAUAGCGCCCCCUAAGGUGAAAAUUCACACUAUUGACUGUCACGUCUGUACGCUUUGUCAUAUUGACACAAAAAUUGACACACACAUGUAUCUCAAUAAGAUCUACAAAAAAGUCAGUGCGGGCGUAUCUGUCAAAUGUACGGUUAAAGGGUUAUUUCGCAUUUUUUGCAGAUCCGCACACAUUGGAAUUUCGCUAACUCCUCCGAAGGCUUUCGGUCCACCGGCACCACAUUUGCUCAGGCCAAUCUACACUCCAUGGCCAUUCAAAGUUGUACAAAUCAUGAUGCUGCACCCCAUGGUUUAGGUUCUAGGGGGCGCCAAAAAUAACCCUAAAAUCCACAUUCUUAAAAGUUUUAUAACUUUUUAUUUUUGCCCUCACUGGCCUCCAAGUUUUCUAGGAUGAUGCAAUGUCCAGCCAUCAACACAUUUGUGAAGGAAUUUUUACUCCCCAAAAGAGCGCCCCCCCAUGGCAGGACAAAAAAGUCAAUUUUUUCUUGUCCCCUAAGGUGAAAAUACACAUUGUUGAAUGUCACGCCUGUACGCUUUGUCAUAUUGACAAAAAAUUUGACAAUCACGUGUAUCUCAAUAAGAUCUACGAAAAAGUCAAUGCAGGCGUAUCUGUCAAAUGUACGGUUAAAGGGCUAUUUCGCAUUUUUUGCCGAUUCGCACACAUUGGAAUGUGGCUAACUCCUCCUAAGGCUUUCGUCCCACUGACACCAAAUUUGCUCAGGCCAAUCUACACCCCAUGGCCAUUCAAAGUUGUAAAAAUCAUGACGCUGCACCCUAUGGUCUACGUUCUAGGGGGCGCCAAAGAGGACCCAAAUAUCCACAUUUUUAAAGUCUUAUAACUUUUUAUUUUUGUCCUCACUGGCCUCCAAGUUUUCUAGGAUGAUGCAAUGUCCAGCCAUCAACACAUUUGUGAAGGAAUUUUUUCUCCCCAAAAGAGCGCCCCCCCAUGGCAGGAGAAAAAGUCAAGUUUUUCCUGCCCAUCGCUCAAUGGCUCAAACGCAUCGCUCUCUCGGCAAAACCGAAAGGAGGAGCAACUUGCCAUUUGGAUAUAUACUAGCUGUGUUUGUGCCCUCACUCAUGGUCCAGACUUUUUUCAAAAAGGACAUGGAGUUUGUCUGCAGCGAGCGUUUUGGUAGAAACUGCGCCUCCCAUUCAUUAUAAUGGUAAAUGACCACAGACAAGUGCGCACACCAUCUUUGGACCUUGAGUGUGACGCGAUCGGGAGGGGGAGGCGGUCGCGCUGGGGGCGGCGUGACACGGCUCGGGCCCGCCAGUGCCCCACCGGGGCCCUAGUCUUCUUAUUAUUUUUCUGCCCCUUUGAACUGGAAAAUGGCCCACUUCCCACUGGUGAAAAGUCAUGAAAUUUGGCAGGACGACCGGGCCUGGUGAAAAAUUCGAUAUUCUGAAGUCGCCCAAAAAAUCAAAUGCAAAAUGGCUCCAUAGCGCCCCCUAAGGUGAAAAAUUCACAUGAUUGAGUGUCACGCCUGUACGCUUUGUCAAAAUGACACAAAAUUUGACACACACGUGUAUCUCAAUAAGAUCUACAAAAAAGUCAGUGCGGGCGUAUCUGUCAAAUGUACGGUUAAAGGGCUAUUUCGCAUUUUUUGCCGAUCCGCACACAUUGGAAUUUCGCUAACUCCUCCGAAGGCUUUCGUUCCACCGGCACCAAAUUUGCUCAGGCCAAUCUACACCCCAUGGCCAUUAAAAGUUGUACAAAUCAUGACGCUGCAUCCCACGGUUUACGUUCUAGGGGGCGCCAAAGAUAACCCAGAAAUCCACAUUCUUAAAAGUCGUAUAACUUUUUAUUUUUGUCCUCACUGGCCUCCAAGUUUUCUAGGAUGAUGCAAUGUCUAGCCAUCAACACAUUUGUGAAGGAAUUUUUACUCCCCAAAAGAGCGCCCCCCCAUGGCAGGAGAAAAAAGUCCAGUUUUUCUUCCCCCUAAGGUGAAAAUUCACAUUAUUGAGUGUCACGCCUGUACGCUUUGUCAUAUUGUAACAAACUUUGACAAUCACGUGUUUCUCAAUAAGAUCUACGAAAUAGUCAAUGGGCGCGUAUCUGUAAAAUGUACGGUUAAAGGGCUAUUUCGCAUUUUUGGUCGAUUCGCACACAUUGGAAUGUGGCUAACUCCUCCUAAAUAUUUCGUUCCACUGACACCAAAUUUACUCAGGCCAAUCUACAUUCCAUGGCCAUUCAAAGUUGUAAAAAUCAUGACGCUGCACCCCACGGUUUAUGUUCUAGGGGGCGCCAAAGAUAACCCAAAAAUCCACAUUCUUAAAAGUCUUAUAACUUUUUAUUUUUGUCCUCACUGGCCUCCAAGUUUUCUAGGAUGAUGCAAUGUCUAGCCAUCAACACAUUUGUGAAGGAAUUUUUACUCCCUAAAAGAGCGCCCCCCCAUGGCAGGAGAAAAAGUCAAGUUUUUCCUGCCCAUCGCUCAAUGACUCAAACACAUCGCUCUCUCGGCAAAACCGAAAGGAGGAGCAACUUGCCAUUUGGAUAUAUCCUAGCUGUGUUUGUGCCCUCACUCAUGGUCCAGUCCUUUUCAAAUAGGACAUGGAGUUUGUCUGCGGCGAGCGUUUUGGUAGAAACUGCGCCUCCCAUUCAUUAUAAUUGUAAAUGACCACAGACAAGUGCGCACACCAUCUUUGGACCUUGAGUGUGACGCGAUCGGUAGGGAGAGGCGGUCGUGUUGGGGGCGGCGCGACACGGCUCGGGCCCGCCAGUGCCCCAACGGGGCCCUAGUUAUUAUUUUUCUGCCCCUUUGAACUGGAAAAUGGCCCACUUCCCACUGGUGAAAACUCAUGAAAUUUGGCAGGACGACCGGGCCUGGUGAAAAAUUCGAUAUUCUGAAGUCGCCCAAACAAUCAAAUUCAAAAUGGCUCCAUAGCGCCCCCUAAGGUGAAAAAUUCACAUGAUUGAGUGUCACACCUGUACGCUUUGUCAAAAUGACACAAAAUUUGACACACACGUGUAUCUCAAUAAGAUCUACAAAAAAGUCAGUGCGGGCGUAUCUGUCAAAUGUACGGUUAAAGGGCUAUUUCGCAUUUUUUGCCGAUCCGCACACAGUGGAAUUUCGCUAACUCCUCCGAAGGCUUUCGUUCCACCGGCACCACAUUUGCUCAGGCCAAUCUACACCCCAUGGCCAUUCAAAGUUGUACAAAUCAUGACGCUGCACCCCACGGUUUACGUUCUAGGGGGCGCCAAAGAUAACCCAAAAAUCCACAUUCUUAAAAGUCUAAUAACUUUUUAUUUUUGCCCUCACUGGCCUCCAAGUUUUCUAGGAUGAUGCAAUGACCAGCCAUCAACACAUUUGUGAAGGAAUUUUUACUCCCCAAAAGAGCGCCCCCCCAUGGCAGGAGAAAAAAGUCCAUUUUUUCUUGUCCCCUAAGGUGAAAAUACAUAUUGUUGAGUGUCACGCCUAUACGCUUUGUCAUAUUGACAUAAAAUUUGACACACACGUGUAUCUCAAUAAGAUCUACAAAAAAGUAUAUGCGCACGUAUCUGUCAAAUGUACGGUUAAAGGGCUAUUUUGCAUUUUUUGCGGAACCGCACACAUUGGAAUUUCGCUAACUCCUCCGAAGGCUUUCGUUCCACCGGCACCACAUUUGCUCAGGCCAAUCUACACCCCAUGGCCAUUAAAAGUUGUACAAAUCAUGACGCUGCACCCCACGGUUUACGUUCUAGGGGGCGCCAAAAAUAACCCAAAAAUCCACAGUCUUAAAAGUCUUAUAACUUUUUAUUUUUGUCCUCACUGGCCUCCAAGUUUUCUAGGAUGAUGCAAUGUCCAGCCAUCAACACAUUUGUGAAGGAAUUUUUACUCCCCAAAAGAGCGCCCCCCAUGGCAGGAGAAAAAAGUCCAUUUUUUCUUGUCCCAUAAGGUGAAAAUACACAUUGUUGAGUGUCACGCCUGUACGCUUUGUCAUAUUGAAACAAAAUUUGACAAUCACGUGUAUCUCAAUAAGAUCUACGAAAAAGUCAAUGCGCACGUAUCUGUAAAAUGUACGGUUAAAGGGCUAUUACGCAUUUUUGAUCGAUUCGCACACAUUGGAAUGUGGCUAACCCCUCCUAAAGCUUUCGUUCCACCGGCACCACAUUUGCUCAGGCCAAUCUACACCCCAUGGCCAUUAAAAGUUGUACAAAUCAUGACGCUGCACCCCACGGUUUACGUUCUAGGGGGCGCCAAAGAUAACCCAAAUAUCCACAUUCUUAAAAGUCUUAUAACUUUUCAUUUUUGUCCUCACUGGCUUCCAAGUUUUCUAGGAUGAUGCAAUGUCUAGCCAUCAACACAUUUGUGAAGGAAUUUUUACUCCCCAAAAGAGCGCCCCCCCCAUGGCAGGAGAAAAAGUCAAGUUUUUCCUGCCCAUCGCUCAAUGGCUCAAACACAUGUCAUGUGUUCAAACUCCUCCGAAAGGAGGAGCAACUUGCCAUUUGGAUAUAUCCUAGCUGUGUUUGUGCCCUCACUCAUGGAUCAGACUUUUUUCAAAUAGGACAUGUAGUUUGUCUGCAGCGAGUGUUUUGGUAGAAACUGCGCCUCCCAUUCAUUAUAAUGGGAAAUGACCACAGACAAGUGCGCACACCAUCUUUGGACCUUGAGUGUGACGCGAUCGGGAGGGGGAGGCGGUCGCGCUGGGGGCGGCGCAACGCGGCUCGGGCCCGACAGUGCCCCACCGGGGCCCUAGUCUUAUUAUUAUUAUUUUUCUGCCCCUUUGAACUGGAAAAUGGCCCACUUCCCACUGGUGAAAACUCAUGAAAUUUGGCAGGACGACCGGGCCUGGUGAAAAAUUCGAUAUUCUGAAGUCACCCAAACAAUCAAAUGCAAAAUGGCUCCAUAGCGCCCCCUAAGGUGAAAAAUUCACAUGAUUGAGUGUCACGCCUGUACGUUUUGUCAAAAUGACACAAAAUUUGACACACACGUGUAUCUCAAUCAGAUCUACAAAAAAGUCAGUGCGGGAGAAUCUGUCAAAUGUACGUUUAAAGGGCUAUUUCGCAUUUUUUGCCGAUCCGCACACAUUGGAAUUUCGCUAACUCCUCCGAAGGCUUUCGUUCCACCGGCACCAAAUUUGCUCAGGCCAAUCUACACCCCAUGGCCAUUCAAAGUUGUACAAAUCAUGACGCUGCACCCCACGGUUUACGUUGUAGGGGGCGCCAAAGAUAACCCAAAAAUCCACAUUCUUACAAGUCUUAUAACUUUUUAUUUCUGUCCUCACUGGCCUCCAAGUUUUCUAGGAUGAUGCAAUGUCCAGCCAUCAACACAUUUGUGAAGGAAUUUUUACUCCCCAAAAGAGCGCCCCCCCAUGGCAGGAGAAAAAAGGCCAUUUUUUCUUGUCCUAUAAGGUGAAAAUACACAUUGUUGAGUGUCACGCCUGUACGCUUUGUCAUAUUGAAACAAAAUUUGAUAAUCACGUGUAUCUCAAUAAGAUCUACGAAAAAGUCAAUGCGCACGUGUCUGCAAAAUGUACGGUUAAAGGGCUAUUUCGCAUUUUUGGUUGAUUCGCACACAUUGGAAUGUGGCUAACUCCUCCUAAAGCUUUCGUUCCACCGGCACCAAAUUUGCUCAGGCCAAUCUACACCCCAUGGCCAUUCAAAGUUGUACAAAUCAUGACGCUGCACCCCACGGUUUACGUUGUAGGGGGCGCCAAAGAUAACCCAAAAAUCCACAUUCUUACAAGUCUUAUAACUUUUUAUUUCUGUCCUCACUGGCCUCCAAGUUUUCUAGGAUGAUGCAAUGUCCAGCCAUCAACACAUUUGUGAAGGAAUUUUUACUCCCCAAAAGAGCGCCCCCCCAUGGCAGGAGAAAAAAGGCCAUUUUUUCUUGUCCUAUAAGGUGAAAAUACACAUUGUUGAGUGUCACGCCUGUACGCUUUGUCAUAUUGAAACAAAAUUUGAUAAUCACGUGUAUCUCAAUAAGAUCUACGAAAAAGUCAAUGCGCACGUGUCUGCAAAAUGUACGGUUAAAGGGCUAUUUCGCAUUUUUGGUUGAUUCGCACACAUUGGAAUGUGGCUAACUCCUCCUAAAGCUUUCGUUCCACCGGCACCAAAUUUGCUCAGGCCAAUCUACACCCCAUGGCCAUUCAAAGUUGUACAAAUCAUGACGCUGCACCCCACGGUUUACGUUGUAGGGGGCGCCAAAGAUAACCCAAAAAUCCACAUUCUUACAAGUCUUAUAACUUUUUAUUUCUGUCCUCACUGGCCUCCAAGUUUUCUAGGAUGAUGCAAUGUCCAGCCAUCAACACAUUUGUGAAGGAAUUUUUACUCCCCAAAAGAGCGCCCCCCCAUGGCAGGAGAAAAAAGGCCAUUUUUUCUUGUCCUAUAAGGUGAAAAUACACAUUGUUGAGUGUCACGCCUGUACGCUUUGUCAUAUUGAAACAAAAUUUGAUAAACACGUGUAUCUCAAUAAGAUCUACGAAAAAGUCAAUGCGCACGUGUCUGCAAAAUGUACGGUUAAAGGGCUAUUUCGCAUUUUUGGUUGAUUCGCUCACAUUGGAAUGUGGCUAACUCCUCCUAAAGCUUUCGUUCCACCGGCACCAAAUUUGCUCAGGCCAAUCUACACCCCAUGGCCAUUCAAAGUUGUACAAAUCAUGAUGCUGCACCCCACGGUUUACGUUCUAGGGGUCGCCAAAGAUAACCCAAAAAUCCACAUUCUUAAAAGUCUUAUAACUUUUCAUUUUUGUCCUCACUGGCUUCAAAGUUUUCUAGGAUGAUGCAAUGUCUAGCCAUCAACACAUUUGUGAAGGAAUUUUUCUCCCUAAAAGAGUGCCCCCCCAUGGCAGGAGAAAAAGUCAAGUUUUUCCUGCCCAUCGCUCAAUGGCUCAAACACAUCGCUCUCUCGGAAAAAAACGAAAGGAGGAGGAACUUGCCAUUUGGAUAUAUCCUAGCUGUGUUUGUGCCCUCACUCAUGGUCCAGACUUUUUUCAAAUAGGACAUGUAGUUUGUCUGCAGCAAGCGUUUUGGUAGAAACUGCGCCUCCCAUUCAUUAUAAUGGUAAAUGACCACAGACAAGUGCGCACACCAUCGUUGAACCUUGAGUGUGACGCGAUCGGGAGGGAGAGGCGGUCGUGUUGGGGGCGGCGUGACACAGCUCGGGCCCGCCAGUGCCCCAACGGGGCCCUAGUUAUUUUUCCUCCCCUUUGAACUGGAAAAUGGCCCACUUCCCACCCGCGAAAACUCAUGAAAUUUGGCAGGACGACCGGGCCUGGUGAAAAAUUUGAUAUUCCGAAGUCGCCCAAACAAGAAAAUGCAAAAUGGCUCCAUAGCGCCCCCUAAGGUGAAAAUUCACACUAUUGACUGUCACGCCUGUACGCUUUGUCAAAAUGACACAAAAAUUGACACACACAUGUAUCUCAGUAAGAUCUACAAAAAAGUCAGUGCGGGCGUAUCUGUCAAAUGUACGGUUAAAGGGUUAUUUCGCAUUUUUUGCCGAUCCGCACACAUUGGAAUUUCGCUAACUCCUCCGAAGGCUUUCGUUCCACCAGCACCACAUUUGCUCAGGCCAAUCUACACCCCAUGGCCAUUAAAAGUUAUUCAAAUCAUGACGCUGCACCCCAAGGUUUAGGUUCUAGGGGGCGCCAAAGAUAACCCUAAGAUCCACAUAUUUAAAAGUCUUAUAACUUUUUAUUUUUGCCCUCACUGGCCUCCAAGUUUUCUAGGAUGAUGCAAUGUCCAGCCAUCAACACAUUUGUGAAGGAAUUUUUACUCCCCAAAAGAGCGCCCCCCCAUGGCAGGAGAAAAAAGUCCAUUUUUUCUUGUCCCCUAAGGUGAAAAUACACAUUGUUGAGUGUAACACCUGUACGCUUUGGCAAAAUGACACAAAAAUUGACACACACAUGUAUCUCAAUAAGAUCUACGAAAAAGUCAAUGCGCGCGUAUCUGUCAAAUGUACGGUUAAAGGGUUAUUCCGCAUUUUUUGCCGAUCCGCACACAUUGGAAUUUCGCUAACUCCUCCGAAGGCUUUCGUUCCACCGGCACCACAUUUGCUCAGGCCAAUCUACACCCCAUGGCCAUUAAAAGUUAUUCAAAUCAUGACGCUGCAUCCCACGGUUUAGGUUCUAGGGGGCGCCAAAGAUAACCCUAAAAUCCACAUAUUUAAAAGUCUUAUAACUUUUUAUUUUUGUCCUCACUGGCCUCCAAGUUUUCUAGGAUGAUGCAAUGUCCAGCCAUCAACACAUUUGUGAAGGAAUUUUUACUCCCCAAAAGAGCGCCCCCCCAUGGCAGGAGAAAAAAGUCAAUUUUUUCUUGUCCCCUAAGGUGGAAAUUCACACUAUUGACUGUCACGCCUGUACGCUUUAUCAUAUUGACACAAAAAUUGACACACAUAUGUAUCUCAAUAAGAUCUACAAAAAAGUCAAUGCGCGUGUAUCUGUCAAAUGUACGGUUAAAGGGCUAUUUUGCAUUUUUUGCCGAUUCGCACACAUUGGAAUGUGGCUAACUCCUCCUAAGGCUUUCGUCCCACUGACACCAAAUUUGCUCAGGCCAAUCUACACCCCAUGGCCAUUCAAAGUUGUAAAAAUCAUGACGAUGCACCCCACGGUUUACGUUCUAGGGGGCGCCAAAAAUGACCCAAAAAUCCACAUUCUUAAAAGAAUCCACAUCCCCCCCCCUAUGGCAGGAGAAAAAGUCAAGUUUUUCCUGCCCAUCGCUCAAUGGCUCAAUCGCAUCGCUCUCCAGGCAACACCGUAAGGAGGAGCAACCUGGCAUUUCGAUAUAUCAUAGCUGUGUUUGUGCCCUCACUCAUGGUCCAGACUUUUUUCAAAUAGGACAUGAAGUUUGUCUGCAGCGAGUGUUUUGGUAGAAACUGCGCCUCCCAUUCAUUAUAAUGGGAAAUGACCACAGACAAGUGCGCACACCAUCUUUGGUUCUUGAGUGUGACUCGAUCGGGACGGGGAGGCGGUCGCACUGGGGGCGGCGCGACGCGGCUCGGGCCCGACAGUGCCCCACCGGGGCCCUAGUUAGGGCCCGAGCCAGCUGCAGAGCAGCCGGGCGUAGGCCCCAUUAUUCCCCAAGUGGUUUUUCUUUGUUUCUUUCUUUAGGGCCCGAGCGUAGCUGCUAAGCAGCUGCGAGAGCCCUCUUGUUCCUGCAUGUUUCCUUCUUUCGUUAUUAUUUUUCCUCCGCUUUAAACUGGAAAAUGGCCCACUUCCCACUGGCGAAAACUCAGGAAAUUUGGCAGGACGACCGGGCCUGGUGAAAAAUUCGAUAUUCUGAAGUCGCCCAAACAAUAAAAUGCAAAAUGGCUCCAUAGCGCCCCCCAAGGUGAAAAUUCACAUGACGGCUGUACGCUUUGUCAUAUUGACACAAAAAUUGACACACACGUGUAUCUCAAUAAGAUCUACAAAAAAGUCAGUGCGGGCGUAUCUGUCAAAUGUACGGUUAAAGGGUUCUUCCGCAUUUUUUGCCGAUCCACACACAUUGGAAUUUCGCUAACUCCUCCGAAGGCUUUCGUUCCACUGGCACCACAUUUGCUCAGGCCAAUCUACCCCCCAUGGCCAUUAAAAGUUGUACAAAUCAUGACGCUGCACCCCACGGUUUACGUUCUAGGGGGCGCCAAAGAUAACCCAAAAAUCCACAUUCUUAAAAGUCUUAUAACUUUUUACUUUUGUCCUCACUGGCCUCCAAGUUUUCUAGGAUGAUGCAAUGUCCAGCCAUCAACACAUUUGUGAAGGAAUUUUUACUCCACAAAAGAGCGCCCCCCAAUGGCAGGAGAAAAAGGUCAAUUUUUUCUUGUCUCCUAAGGUGAAAAUACAUAUUGUCGAGUGUCACGCCUGUAUGCUUUGUCAUAUUGACACAAAAUUUGACAAUCACGUGUAUCUCAAUAAGAUCUACGAAAAAGUCAAAGGGCAUGUAUCUGUCAAAUGUACGGUUAAAGGGCUAUUUUGCAUUUUUUGCCGAUCCGCACACAUUGGAAUUUCGCUAACUCCUCCGAAGGCUAUCUUUCCACCGGCACCAAAUUUGCUCAGGCCAAUCUACACCCCAUGGCCAUUAAAAGUUGUACAAAUCAUCUUGCUGCACCCCACGGUUUGGGUUCUAGGGGGCACCAAAUAUAACCCAAAAAUCCACAUUCUUAAAAGUCUUAUAACUUUUUAUCUUUUUCCAUACUGGCCUCCAAGUUUUUUAGGAUGAUGCAAUGUCCAGCCAUCAACACAUUUGUGAAGAAAUUUUUACUCCCCAAAAGAGCGCCCCCCCCAUGGCAGGAGAAAAAAGUCCAUUUUUUCUUGUCCCGAAAGGUGAAAAUACACGUUGUUGAGUGUCACGCCUUUACGCUUUGUCAUAUUGACAAAAAAAUUGACAAUCACGUGUAUCUCAAUAAGAUCUAUGAAAAAGUCAAUGGGCACGUAAGUGUAAAAUGUACAGUUAAAGGGCUAUUUUGCAUUUUUUGGCGAUUCGCACACAUUGGAAUUUCGCUAACUCCUCCGAAGGCUUUCGUCCCACUGACACCAAAUUUGCUCAGGCCAAUCUACACUCCAUGGCCAUUCAAAGUUGUAAAAAUCAUGACGCUGCACCCCACGGUUUA
rnacentral:lncRNA from 1 species